rnacentral:lncRNA from 1 species
UUUCCUAUGAAUAGUAACCGUUGUUCUCCUCUGCUUUUAAACACCAGUUUUAAGACCACCUCCAGCAACCAAUCAGCACUCUAUUUAAUUAUAACAAAAUUCUUAGCUCUGUCUGCUGCUGCUCGGACAAGUGGGGGGCACUGGAUCAAUUUCUGGAGCCAGGCAGACUUGCCAACAACAAUUUUCCUUUUCCCAGAGGGCCUUGGAGGCCUGGAGCAGGUUCCAAGUCCUUCCUCUCCUGCCUGCUCGGCGUGGGCUCCCUGACAGCGAGUUUGAAAAGGGUUAUAGAGAGGCAGAUAAAUGCUGGGCUUGUUGCAGCCUUCCCUGACAGCGCCGACCCCCACGCCAGUGAGCUCAUGCCCGCCUCAUUAUGGUUGGUGCCAGAUUUUUUCCAUUAACAGCGCAGGGUGAUCUUCUGACAGGGAUGGUGAAGACUAGGUCCCUGCCCACCUGGAGCUAACAUUCCAGAGGAAGGUGGGGACACAGACAAUGACCAAGUUAACAAAGGGCCACUUGAAAUUUCAGCAGUGCUACAAGGAAAUAAACAUGGUUUAUUACCCAGCGUGAGUGCCUGCUAAUGACCUUCAAGGGUCAAGGCAGGCCUCUCACGGUGGUGCUAUUUCCUGAGGCCUGAGAGCUGAGACGGAGUUCUAGUGAAAGUCCUUGCCCUUAAACACUGGUCUGGGUCACUCAGCCCACUCCCCAUCUGAGGGAGAGCCCUUGGGCACCUCAGCUCUGCUCCUCAGCUCCAUGUCCUCAUCUGUACACUGGAGGCACACAGAGGGACCACCAUGUGAAGAGUACAAGCUAAGGAGAGAGGCCUCAGGGGAAAGCAACUCUGCUGGCAUCUUGAUCUUGGACUUCCAGCCUCCAGAACCGUGAGAAAGUAAAUUUGUGUUGUUUAAGUGGAAAAAAAAAAAGCUCACAAAAUUACUGGAAAUUUAACAAUCGGCUCUCACAAGCCAGUAUAUGCUGGAUUCAGCACACUAUUGCCUCCAACCCCUGGGCCAAUGGGAGCCCAUGGAAGUUCCUCAGAUCAGCUCUGAAGCCG